AUCUUGGUCAGGACGAACGCUGGCGGCAUGCCUAACACAUGCAAGUCGAACGGAGCUUAAAGAGCUUGCUUUUAAGCUUAGUGGCGGACGGGUGAGUAACGCGUGAGUAACCUGCCUCUUAGUGGGGAAUAAUACCUUGAAAAGGGUACUAAUACCGCAUAAUAUGUAGAGACCGCAUGAUCUUUACAUCAAAGAUUUAUCGCUGAGAGAUGGACUCGCGUCCGAUUAGCCAGUUGGUGAGGUAACGGCUCACCAAAGCGACGAUCGGUAGCCGGACUGAGAGGUUGAACGGCCACAUUGGGACUGAGACACGGCCCAGACUCCUACGGGAGGCAGCAGUGGGGGAUAUUGCGCAAUGGGGGAAACCCUGAACCGCAGCAAUGCCGCGUGAAUGAUGAAGGUCUUCGGAUUGUAAAAUUCUUUUAACAGGGACGAUAAUGACGGUACCUGUUGAAUAAGCUCCGGCUAACUACGUGCCAGCCGCCGC
rnacentral:rRNA from 1 species